UGACCUUAGACCAUGCAUCCAUUUUGCAUGAUAUUUUUUUGUUCAUGGUUAGCUUAACACGUGUUGCUUAGCCAUUGAAACACAUAAUGAUUUCUGAUAAUUUGCACAACAGUGUCUUUCGAUCGGCGCACUUGGGAGCUUUUAUCCUUAAGCUAGAUUGUACAUGUUGUGGGAAGGAAGAUGCCAUGCAAGCCCUAUAAAAUAAGGGCAAGAACCAGCGGAAGGAAAAAAGGAAGGAAGGGAAACAACUCUAACCAGAGCUGUUCUUCCCUUAAGAUUACUUUCUUAUAUUUCUCUUACAUGUUGUUAAAGCUUCUUAGCCAUUACAAUGUAUAUUGUAAAUCCUCCAUAUAUAGUGUAAUAGAAACAAAAAAUGUAGGAUAAUAUAAAUGAUUAUGAUCAUAAUACACAUGUAAAUUCAAUCAAUUAGAUAAUAACCAAAUGCAUCAAACACAUAUAUCAAUAAAUAAAGCAGUAAAAAGGAAAAAGUAAAGAAUGAUCUGGCCUGUGAUAUCAAGAGAAGCGUGUUGUCACUGUCCUAAAGUCGUAGAUGCCUCCCUACGUGCCGGUUAUAACGGCUAUCUACAACUCCAAGAUACAACCCUUGAAUUUCACAGAGUGUCUAAUCCAUAAGCAGAAUUACGGUAGACGAGAUACCAAGUAGUGAUCAAUUGCCCAUUGAUGAUCAAGAUGAGUAGGAAGAUAAUAAGAAUUAUAUAUGAGUACUGUAGUAGAGAGAGAAGGAAGACAUUUUAAUCUAUGUUAACAUCUUUGUUCUGUUUGAGGAGUUCGCUAUUUAUUAAACUCUACAUACCCCUUAAUAAAAUACAUGACUUCUCUAAUGAAUAUGACUCUUCAUAUUUUUUAUUUAAAAUCAAUAAUAAAUAAAGUUUUGAAUCUUUAAGAAAAUAAAAUAAAUAACCAACAAUCCCCCACAAGAUUCAAAACUCCAUAGAAAUGUAGAAGAAGUAAACAUAUAGAUAUGAAUGGAAGAAAUUUGGGCAACUUGUAUACCAUGCAAUAGGUGUAGGUGUCUUUUGGACUUGAACCUACACUUAGUGUUAACAACUUUCAUCUGAAUGAAUCAUAGUGAACCAUGUCUUGAACUAGACUCCUUUUGACCAGAAUACUAAAUGUAACACACAUGGUAUCGAUCAAAAACUUGGCGCGGGUUAGCGCUAUUUAUGGCCAUGCGCUUAAUCUUGAUUCUCAUGAGAAUUAUUAGAGAACAGCCCAAUCCUCACAGUUGUGGCCUCACAACUACUCUCACUUAGGUGAGUUCUCCAAGAGUACAUGUGACAUGUACCCUGCAGGAGAUUGCCUGCCUCGAAACUCAUUCAAGGUUAAUACCCUUCCUAACGUCACAUAAAAUUGCACUAAUGUCAUAGGGAUGAGCGUAAAGAUAUCUCAUGGAUAUCUUCAUUAUAAUAUGAGUGCUAUAAUGAGUCACGCAAUAUAGAUUGUUCUUACCACAUUGAACUUCCUUCAUGGGAUCUCCAAUCACAGAAGUUGGGUUUCUUCCUUAGGUGACUCCCUUACGGGCUUAAGCACAUCCCUCUCGACAAUUUUGCAUUUAGCCUCCUCGAGGCAUGUAGAUAAAUGACUAACAAGUCAUUUUAUUAAUUAUGAUUGCCUUCACAAGGCAUAUAUAAGUUUUCUGGUCAUAUAUUUGCUCGUCAGCGCUCGUCAACCUGCACGUUAUAACUAACUGCAAGCUAAAAAAUAUUUUAGUCAUAAUUUCACAGAUAAGUUGUUUAAGGUGCAUAAUUAAUCAUUCAUAACUUCACUAGAAUAAACAUGGGUACGAGCAAUGAAACAUACCCCCACAUUAUGGCACUUAUUAGAAAAUUAAUUUCAUGAAAAUCUCAAAUCAAUUUCAUUAUAUAUAAGAUAUCAAAAGUAAGAGUAAUUAUAUGCACAUUGAAGAAAAAUUCAAUAUUAUUUGUUUGUUCUAGUGAGCAUUGACAUAAAAGAAUUAGGAAAUAUUGUUAAAUAACCAAGAGAGCAUCAAACAUUAAUCUAUAUUUCCAUAGUAUGCUUCAACAUUAAGUAUAGAAUAGUAUACACACAUAACUAUUUUAUAAUUGACAACAGAUUCAAUCUCAUGAUGAAUCUCACAGCCACAUAUAUAAAUAUGAACAUCAACCGUAAAGUAACUACACGUACCUGCAUAGAAGUUUAACAUGUUCGCCAUUUUGUCUCUUGCUAAAAAUCUCAAUAAUUUCACAUGUGUAAUCUCUAAGAUGAAAACAAAAUAACCCAUGUUACUUAAAAAUGAUAUA
rnacentral:lncRNA from 1 species